CAAUAAGGGACGCUGGGUCGGCGGGUGGAUGAACGCGGCCCUCUGUAAUGGCGGAGCGUGGCGGGGACGGGGGCGACGGUGAGCGAUUCAACCCGGGGGAGCUCAGGAUGGCCCAACAGCAGGCCUUGAGGUUCCGAGGUCCGGCUCCCCCACCAAAUGCAGUGAUGCGAGGCCCACCACCUCUGAUGCGACCUCCUCCACCUUUUGGUAUGAUGCGAGGCCCUCCACCACCACCACGGCCCCCCUUUGGACGUCCUCCUUUUGAUCCUAAUAUGCCGCCAAUGCCUCCUCCAGGAGGGAUACCUCCACCUAUGGGCCCUCCACACCUCCAGAGACCACCUUUCAUGCCUCCACCCAUGAGUUCCAUGCCUCCUCCUCCGGGUAUGAUGUUUCCACCAGGAAUGCCUCCUGUGACUGCUCCUGGUACUCCAGCACUACCUCCUACGGAGGAGAUAUGGGUUGAAAAUAAAACUCCAGAUGGAAAGGUUUAUUAUUAUAAUGCUCGGACACGUGAAUCUGCAUGGACCAAGCCAGAUGGAGUUAAGGUUAUUCAGCAAUCAGAACUGACACCUAUGCUUGCAGCCCAGGCCCAGGUUCAGGCUCAGGCCCAGGCGCAGGCCCAGGCCCAGGCCCAGGCCCAGGCCCAGGCGCAGGCCCAGGCGCAGGCGCAGGCUCAGGCCCAGGCGCAGGCCCAGGCCCAGGCGCAGGCCCAGGCCCAGGCACAGGCUCAGGCUCAGGCCCAAGCUCAGGCCCAGGCCCAGGCUCAGGUCCAGGCCCAGGUCCAGGCACAAGUACAAGCACAAGCAGUUGGAGCUUCCACCCCUACGACCAGUAGCCCAGCACCUGCAGUAUCCACUUCAACGUCGUCAUCCACCCCUUCCUCUACCACUUCUACCACAACAACUGCUACUUCAGUUGCGCAGACAGUAUCAACACCCACAACACAAGAUCAGACCCCAAGUUCUGCUGUUUCAGUUGCCACGCCUACAGUUAGUGUUUCAACUCCUGCUCCUACAGCUACACCUGUGCAAACUGUUCCCCAGCCGCACCCUCAGACGUUACCUCCUGCUGUUCCUCAUUCAGUACCUCAGCCAACAACAGCAAUACCUGCUUUUCCACCAGUAAUGGUACCUCCGUUUCGUGUUCCCCUUCCUGGCAUGCCAAUUCCACUUCCAGGUGUAGCAAUGAUGCAAAUAGUCAGCUGCCCGUAUGUAAAGACAGUCGCUACCACCAAGACCGGUGUAUUGCCAGGAAUGGCCCCUCCUAUCGUACCCAUGAUACAUCCCCAGGUUGCUAUUGCAGCUUCACCUGCAACCUUAGCUGGAGCAACAGCAGUUUCUGAAUGGACUGAAUAUAAAACAGCAGAUGGGAAGACAUAUUAUUAUAAUAAUAGAACAUUAGAAUCUACCUGGGAAAAACCCCAAGAACUAAAGGAAAAAGAAAAGUUAGAAGAGAAGAUUAAAGAGCCAAUUAAAGAACCCUCUGAAGAGCCUCUGCCAAUGGAGACGGAGGAGGAGGAUCCUAAAGAAGAGCCUAUAAAGGAGAUAAAGGAGGUAAAGGGCCAUGACCCAUUAACCUGGGAGCCACAUUCAUUGUUUCCUACAGCUUACUUGUAUGAGCCCAAAGAAGAGGAGAUGACUGAAGAAGAAAAGGCUGCCCAGAAGGCAAAGCCAGUUGCUACUGCUCCUAUUCCUGGUACUCCGUGGUGUGUUGUUUGGACCGGUGAUGAGCGGGUCUUCUUUUAUAAUCCCACCACUCGUCUUUCUAUGUGGGACCGGCCUGAUGAUCUGAUUGGCAGAGCAGAUGUUGACAAAAUUAUUCAGGAGCCCCCUCAUAAAAAAGGAAUGGAAGAAUUGAAGAAACUAAGGCACCCAACUCCGACAAUGCUGUCGAUCCAAAAGUGGCAGUUCUCUAUGAGUGCAAUUAAAGAGGAACAAGAAUUAAUGGAAGAAAUUAAUGAAGAUGAGCCUGUUAAAGCAAAAAAACGGAAGAGAAUGUCAAAGAAGUCCUUUAUGUGGAUUGCCCGAGCUUCUCUAUUUAGGUCACAGACUAUCUCGCUAAGUGCCUGCAGGAGAGAUGAUAAUAAAGACAUUGACUCAGAGAAAGAAGCUGCCAUGGAAGCUGAAAUUAAAGCUGCCCGAGAAAGGGCCAUUGUCCCUCUGGAGGCUCGAAUGAAGCAGUUCAAGGACAUGCUGCUAGAGAGAGGGGUGUCUGCUUUUUCAACAUGGGAGAAGGAGUUGCACAAGAUAGUUUUUGAUCCCCGGUACUUACUUCUCAAUCCUAAAGAGAGAAAACAGGUGUUUGAUCAGUAUGUAAAGACCAGGGCAGAGGAAGAACGCAGGGAAAAGAAAAAUAAAAUAAUGCAAGCCAAGGAAGAUUUCAAAAAAAUGAUGGAAGAAGCAAAAUUUAAUCCAAGAGCAACUUUUAGUGAAUUUGCAGCCAAGCAUGCUAAAGAUUCAAGAUUCAAAGCAAUUGAAAAGAUGAAAGACCGAGAAGCCUUGUUUAAUGAGUUUGUGGCCGCUGCUAGGAAGAAAGAGAAAGAAGAUUCGAAGACCAGAGGUGAGAAGAUUAAAUCGGAUUUCUUUGAACUAUUAUCUAAUCAUCACUUGGACAGUCAGUCUCGAUGGAGCAAAGUAAAAGACAAAGUAGAAAGUGAUCCACGUUACAAAGCAGUAGAUAGUUCAUCAAUGAGAGAAGAUCUUUUCAAACAGUACAUUGAAAAAAUAGCCAAGAAUUUAGACUCAGAAAAAGAAAAGGAGCUUGAAAGGCAAGCCCGCAUUGAGGCAAGCCUUCGAGAACGAGAAAGGGAGGUUCAAAAGGCUCGUUCAGAACAAACAAAAGAAAUAGAUCGAGAGAGAGAGCAGCACAAACGAGAAGAAGCUAUCCAGAAUUUCAAAGCUCUUCUGUCUGAUAUGGUACGUUCUUCAGAUGUGUCAUGGUCUGAUACUCGUAGGACCCUCCGAAAAGAUCACCGCUGGGAAUCUGGAUCCUUAUUGGAAAGAGAGGAGAAAGAGAAACUUUUUAAUGAACACAUUGAAGCACUUACCAAAAAAAAGAGGGAGCACUUUAGGCAACUUCUGGAUGAAACUUCUGCGAUUACCUUAACAUCCACGUGGAAAGAAGUAAAAAAAAUCAUUAAGGAAGAUCCUCGGUGUAUUAAGUUCUCCUCCAGUGACAGGAAAAAACAAAGAGAAUUUGAAGAAUAUAUCAGAGACAAAUAUAUCACAGCCAAAGCUGACUUCAGGACGCUUUUGAAAGAGACCAAAUUUAUAACAUAUAGUUAAUUUAGUGAAAGAUGUGAAAGUGAAAGCUUGUGAAAGAUGCUGGGAUUGGCAGCCCCGCAGACUGAAGUCCUCUGUUCAUCCACAGAACAGAUCCAAAAAAUUAAUCCAAGAAUCUGAUCAGCACCUGAAAGAUGUAGAAAAAAUUUUACAGAAUGACAAACGGUAUUUAGUACUGGACUGUGUGCCAGAGGAGAGGCGUAAACUGAUUGUGGCAUAUGUUGAUGACCUGGAUCGCCGGGGUCCACCCCCACCACCUACAGCAUCAGAGCCCACGAGACGAUCAACAAAAUAAUUCUAAAUACUCUUCCACAGGGGUAUCUAUUCAAAAUGCUUGCAUGAGCCAAUUUUCAGGUUUUUACAUAUAUGUGCAUUAGUCAACCUAUUGCAAAACCAUCUGACAAACAGAAGGAGAAGCAUUUGUGAACAGUUUCUGAACAGAACACUUUGGAAAUAUUUAUGCUUUUCUUUGUGUGGCAUGACUGACAUACAUACUCAAAUAUAGGCUGUCUCUAGUAAAUCUUAAAAUCUUGAAGCUAAAAUUCAUCCUUUUAUGAGGUGUGGAAGUCAGUGACUUGGUGACGUUCUUCCUAGCAGUGUUAAUACAUGCAAGAAGUAAGAGCAUUUGUGGCUUGAACUUGCCAGAUGCAAAUACCACAGACUCCAAGAAAACCUGAGUUGGGGUUUGUUUUGUUUUGAUUUUUUUUUUUUAAAGCGGGUAAAAGAGAAGACACUGAAAAUUGAAUUCUUAUCUUCCAGAGGCUACGAUUAUUAUAAUGGACAAUACUUUUACCUUUGUCUCUAAAGAUCAGAUUAGUUUUAUUUGUUCACUUACGUGCUUUGAUUAUCCCCUCUGAAUUAUAGACCAAGUCUUGUUGUUUAGCCUAAGAGAAGAUUUAUGUAGUAAUUUCUUCUCAGGUAUGGAACCACGGUCAUAACUAACAUGUUGGCCAGAAUAGAACCACUGGUUAAACAUAUUUUAUUCACCAUUAAGUGAUCUUUAUCAAUAUUCUGGAUUAGACAACAAAUUACCUUUCUGGGUGUUUCUUGUAAACUAUACUCCUGUUUGAAUGUUAAACUUUGUUGCUAAAGUUUAAUUUUAAGAUGUUUGAAUGUUCAGUUUAUGUAUUUGAACUACAAUAAACCAACCCUUUUUAUAUA